AUGGACUGGAAACCUGCGGUGAUGAUGAUGGCAGUGGUGAUCAUGUACGCGGUGUUGAAUGUGAUGACGAAGAUAGCUUUCAAUGAAGGGAUGCACACCACCGUGUUCAUCGUCCUCCGCCUGCUCAUCGCCGCGCUCUUCCUCUCCCCGGUCGCAUACUUCAGAGAGAGGAAGAGUAGACCUAAGCUGACCAUCGAGAUCUUCGUCUACCUCUUCUUGAGUGCCUUGCUAGGUGUUGACCUGAUUGGUGCACCAGCAAAACACCUAGCCACCACUGCCGCCCAUAGCGGGGCACCGAGGUGGGUGGUGGGCUUAGUAGCACUGUUGGGCUUCUCAACAAGCUGGCCAAUGUGGUUCAUCCUACAGUCCAAGAUUGGGACAAAGUACCCGGCACUCUACUCCAGCACGGCGUGGAUGUUCCUCCUUAGCUUUGCCCAGAUGGCUGUCGUAGGUGCCGCAACCGAGAAGAUGACCUUGCAGGUAUGGGUCCCAGGCACGGUGCUCCAGGCCGUCACCGUACUCUUCGCGGGUGUCGGAGUGUUGGCGCUGGGGCUCCUGGCCAUGACAUGGUGCGUGGAGCGGCGAGGGCCUGUGUUCACCACAGCCUUCAUGCCGCUAAUUCAGAUCAUCACAGCUGGGAUCGACGUCGCCAUCCUCCAUGAGCAGCUCCACCUUGGUAGCGUGGGGAAAGAGCAACGAGGAAAGCACCAUAUUAGACUGCUCCAUUGA
rnacentral:rRNA from 1 species